rnacentral:lncRNA from 1 species
GCCUAUAUUUUUGGAAGGUAUAAAUAUCUUUAACUCUCAUGAAUCCUUAUAUUAUUACGGCCAUAUGAUAGACUCGUCCAGAUUAGUUAUUUUAGCUAUGUAUGUGCAGUGUUGGCAAUACAUGGGAGUGUAGUUUUUGUUGCAUGUGUAGUUCUAUGUUUGGCCCUUUGAUCUUGAAAAACAACUGCUUCUUGCCGCUCUUCAAGUUAUGUCUUUUGGGACAAUUUCAAGUGCCUCACUUCCUCUACACAUGGAUCCUGUAGGUAUAUCCUAAUGUAAGUGACACUGUUUUCCUUCUUUAUGUACCUGGACGGGAGUGCUCAUGAGGAUGACGACAUGCUACUGAACUCAAUUUCAGAAAUGGAAUUGGGGCCUGGGGUUUGGAGCCCGCCCCUCAUUAGAAGUGCCCAGGCGGCAUGUCACAGUUUUUUGCUGAGAAUUUACUAAGAACAAUUUUUGCUUGUCUUUAGCAUGAGGCUAUAAGCCCUAUAGCAGUUCCAGUGUGAUGGUCUACCACUUGACUAGGAAGGGGGGAUUGAAAGAUAGCACUUGUCGUUUGGAUCAAUUAGUAUUGGAUAUUUGAGGAAGUAAAUGUUUAAACCACUAAACCUUAUAUUCUUUCGUGAAAAGGUUAUGUGUUUUUAAUCCAUUAGCAGAGUUAGUUUGUCUAAAAUAACUAACUAUUUGGACUAAUAUGGAAUGAUAAAAAUUUCAGAACUAGAUGUAAAAUUUGAUGCGCAUGGCUUUGUUUAACUUGCAGUCUGUAUUUCUAAUAUCUUCUUUGUUGCUGAGGUUGCUUCUAGGUUUUAUUACUGUGGAUCUAAUUUAGAUAAUUUGUAAAUAAUCCUAUGUAGGAGUAUGCUCAUCUAUAACAGUUGGGGAGGGAAAUCGUAUGAAUUACAUAUUUUGUCAAAAAUUGGCAUUACUAUAUGCAUAAAUCUAAAUUAUUGUUCAUAAUGGAUUCACCACUGCUCUACAUAAGCUACAUUUGCUAAUUGCUAUGUAUAUAAGCUGAAUUAGUACCACUACUUCCUGUUUUCUUGCUUGCAAUACCAUGUAUUACCUCUUUACUUUGUUCUCCACAUUUUAAAUUUUGUCUUUCUUUGCAAGUAUAGUGGCCAACUUAUGGUCUGCAUUGUGUAUAACCGAAAUGAUUGUAGUUUCCUAAUACCAUUAUCUAUAACCGAAAUGAGUAGUUUCGUAAUACCAAAGCAUGUGCGCUCACGUAUUUGUCUCUUAGUGUUGCUGAAUGCAUGAAAACCAUGCCCAUGGCCAAAAGCUAAAAAAGUACGAGAAAUUGGGUUUUCAUUUCUCUUAGAAUUGUACAUGUUCAUGUUGUUGUCAUUUUUUCUGAAAUUUAGACAACUCUUUUCGCUUAAUAAUAGUUUACCGAUUUCAGUGCAUCCUAUAUAUAUGUAUGUUUUGACUGAUUGGUCGUCCUCUCAUUCGGACUUACUCAGUGUUGCGUUUGUGUGUUCCUUUAUCAUGCGCUGCUUAUUUUUUGGUUGUGUGAGCGGGUUGUGUGUUGUUGUUUCCAUCCUCAUUUAGUAUGCUGAUGUUUUUAAGAUGACCUCUAUAUUGCUGGAAACUUAAAUUUUAGUUCAUACAUUUGAGCAACUAACUAGAUUAAAAAAUAAUUUCUGUAAGAUUGAGGCCAGUUUAUUUGGUAAGGUAGAAGAAAAAUAAGAUGAAUACGCACAUGUUAUUACUGUACAAAGGCUAAACACUGAAUAACACUGAUGGUUCUUUCCUGAGGUUGAGUAGGAGUGUAUCCCUUUUCUGUAUAAUUAUGUCUUCGAAAUUGCCGAAAGAAUAGCUAGGUUCUAGAACAAACAUGCUAUGAAUAAUUGCAUUACUACUUCAGUGAAAAGUUCCUGGGCAUACUAUGUGUUCCUCUAGACUUGGUUGAAAGUAUUUCUUUUGUUAUCCGAUUUCUCACUAGGUACCUUUGUUGAUGAAUGUGUUCCUCUAGACUUGGUUAUAUAGACUCACAUGAUUACCUGAUGCGGAUUCUACAACUUGGAAAACACAUCUAGAAUAUUCAAGUUGUCUGUGGUGCCCUGGAGAAAGCUUGCUACUCCAAUCAACCACCUUACACGAGAAUCCAGAAUUGAUUUGUCAUUUCAUGUUUGCACUAUUAGAGUUUACCAACAACGCAUCAAGGACAAAGUGUGUCAUGGAUUCCUAAGUUCCAGCUAACAUAGCAAAAUUGUAUAGAGAGAAUACCUGCAUUUUGCUAUUACAUAGUUUGAGGCUAUGUUUCUUGUAAUUUUGAUUAUUAAAAGGAUAUCAUUGCCAAAUUAUCAAGCAUUUAUUUAUUUUCACAUAACUCUUGAUUUGAAAUGGGACCUUGCCCCAUUUGGCGCAAUGAGUAAUGUUAUUAUAUGUCUUAUUGUAGACAAGAAGCCAACAUUCUUAUUGUAAACAGCAAACCUUUGUUCUUUUUUUUGUUAAGAGGGGUUAAAUUUGUUACCAUAUGUGCUUGCCCACAACUGAACUAUGAAUUUUCUUUUCAAUGUACAUAUGGAGCUUGCCCACAACUAAACUAUGAAUUUUCUUUUCAAUGUACAUAUGGAUUCAACGGGUCUCUGUGCCCUUUUUGGCGAUGGCACUCUUGCUCUAAAAAAAGGUUCUGUACCCAGUUUUAUUCCACAGGUUCUGGGAGAUCCUUCGUGUAAAUGAUAGCAUGCAAAAAUGUCAUAUAUUUUGUGAUGGAGGGAGUAUUACUUAUCCAUGUUAAUAUUGUGAAGGAUAAGUUACAUAGGGGAGAAACUUUAUCACCAAAUAAAGGCUUUGAUAUGCAAAUAAUUCUCUGUUCAGAUCAUAUACGCCUAAGUUGAGAAAAAUAAUGGCUUUAAGUUCUUUGUUAAAUUGGGCUGUAGUUCCAUUUUGCUUCAAGUUCUCAACUGUUUGAAUAAGGAAGAUAAUUACAAUCAUUCUUUCUCUUGCCUAAUUACAUCUUGAUAUUAGUAGGCUGAAAAUGACAUUGCAUAUUUUAAAAGAAUCGUUCAUACCUUUAAGCAUUACGAAGAUACAAACAAUUGAUACAUUGGAAAACACUAUUUUGCAGAUAACUCUGGGUUUGAACUGGAACCUUGUGUCAUUUGGUGCAAUGGGUAAUUUUGUUCACAGUACUUGCUUAUGAAGUUAAAGUUGGCAUAUAUGCCUGCCCAUGAACAAGUCUAUUGAUACAUGUUUUUUAAAGCACACAUGUUAGUGGGUCUCCGUGUCAUUUGCGUACAUGAUUUCAAAUGGAUCCAUUUGCGUACAUGAUUUCAAAUGGAUCCAUUUGCGUACAUGAUUUCAAAUGGAUCUUUGCGAAUAUGGUAGCAAGUAUUUUGUGCUAUGAAAUUAAAAUGUGUACAUACAUCUCAUCGUAGACAACAAUCCAACAUGUUUCUUAUUAAAGGGGAUCAAU